UAUUUUUAAAAACAUGGAAUUUAUAUAACAAGUGAAAAAUUCCUUAGCAAACUUAACUUUAAAUCAUCACAGUUGUGCAGAAUAAAAAAGCCAUGGAUCUACUUUUUUGUUGUAAAAAACUGUUGGUUAGAUUUGUUCUGUAAAUGGUCUAGCCUAAAAUAUUUAAAAGUUGUGACAUUUUGGGUAUUUUUGAUAGUAAAAAAACUGUUUUAAAAGGAUGUCCAAUUCUGCAUCAAGAACUUGUUAAAAUAGUGUCAAGUUAAUGCACGUCUGCCAAGCUUAACUGUGCCUUUUUAUCAUUCAGUUUAUCAUUUCAUUUAGGUCGUGCAGUUCACCAAAGUCUUUCUCCUUACCUAGACAGAUGUUAAAACCAAUAAGGUUGACCUGAAAGACAAUAAGGCAGAUGGCUGACUUCUUGCAUGGAAACAUUCAGUUAAUGAGCACAACAGAUGAAAAACUGGAAUUGAGCAGCUGGAAGCAUGAACUGUUUUCCAGGAAAAACCUGCCUUGAAAAGUGCUUUGUGAGCAUGUUGGAGUUGAGGAGGCAGCUGUGUGAUUUCACAAUUUGAUUCUAAUUGUGCUUUAACAGACCCAGCCCAGUCUUCUGCUACACGUUAUUUUUUUACCAAGGUUUACCAAAAGGUGAGAAAUUUUGGAAGAGAUUCCAGGAGCAGUUUCAUCUUGAUACAAGACAUUUUUUACAAUGUAAUUAAUCACUGGAACAGUCUCCUGAGGAAUGCGGUUGAUUCCCAUCAGAGUUUGCCUUCAUGAGCUUAUGGGAUACUUUAGGCACAUUUCAUCUCACUCUAGCACCGGUGGAAAAUGAAGUUAAAAGUUUUACUUAUUGUUAAGAGCAUGAUGGGAGAGACAAUGACCUUUCUCAAGCAGCAACUAAGCUCCUACAACUUGAUUGAGCCCUUCCAAGACAGAAAACAAAAUCUGAAUUAUUCCAGUCUCUUCAGAUAUAGAAGUUAAACAAAAUUUCUUGCAAAGCAAACUUGUUGAAGAAUCUCAAUAAAUCAGAGAUAUAUGUGGGACAAUAUGAAAAUCCAUCCUGUGGUACUGUAGGUAGAAAAUUAAUCUAUUUUAUGAUUUAAAAUUGCAUUGCGUAAUUUCAAUGGGAUAUUAAUUUUCCAAUAAAAUCCACCUUUAAAAGGCUGAUUUCCUAGCUGCAUGUUGCAGGAGGAUAUUGUAAAUUACUGGUUUCUUUUUCCUGUCAAACAUGCCACAGGAUGGACAUAUUACUGUGGAACUCAAGACUUACGGGUCUGUAUUUCUAUUUAUAGCUCUCUUAAAUGUAGAACUAGUUUUGUUGUUCACCAUAACUUGUUAGGUAAAACACUGGUUGGAUUUUCUUUACAGUAGAGGGCAUUCUUGGUGUGGAAAAAGAUGUAUCUAAAUGUAAAGGAUAAAUCAAACUCAGCAUAUAAGCAUCUGGUAAAAUUUCCUGUUGUUCAGUAAUUUGAAUAGCAUAUGCUGCUGUAAGAUUUGCAAUUAGGCUUGUACAUAAACAGUGUUGUUAAUAUUGUUUUAGCCCUGUGAGUAGACUGGGUAUUGAGUUUUCAUCAUGCUUCAUAGAAACUGCUUAGGCUGCUCUAGAAAGCUCUGCCUAUAUUUGCAAAAAAGUACAAUUUUUAAGUAUUCUGAUAGUUUCACAUAUUGAGAGAAACUUCUCAGCCAUUUCAUGCAUUCAUGGCUGGGCUUGGCUUUGUGGUUUUUUUCAUGUAAAAAUUGCUAGCAUUUCUGAGCUCAAAUCUUGUCACAGUAAGAUGUCUCUGCAUUUGAAAUUACAUGAGUGUAGGAAUUUAUUUUUCUGACAACCUCUGUUCUGCUUUUGUCAGUGGUAAAUUCCAGCUCAAGGAGAUGUCAAAUCAAAUUUUUAAUGAAGAGAGGUUUACCUAGGAAAAAAUAAUGAUAAUUAAUACCUCACAGAAAUUAAAAUUCAAACCCACAUAUGUGUAUGUAUUAAAAGAAAACCUUAUUAGAUAUCUACAAAUUAAAAGAGCAAUAAAGCUGC